rnacentral:sRNA from 12 species
GAUCAUUGACAUACUGACAAGGCUAAAAAGACAAAGAGAUAACUAACGUAGAGAGGCUUCAAGCCCUCUACAAGUGACUAACAAUAUAGCUUGCAGUCUUAGACCUAUCGUGCUAAGAGCUGAACGGCUAACGACCGCCACCCCGCCCCUCGUAAAGGGCUUGCAAGCAC